rnacentral:rRNA from 1 species
CCUACGGGAGGCAGCAGUGAGGAAUAUUGGACAAUGGGCGCAAGCCUGAUCCAGCCAUGCCGCGUGCAGGAAGACGCAUCUAUGGUGUGUAAACUGCUUUUGUACGGGAAGAAACACUCCCUCGUGAGGGAGCUUGACGGUACCGUAAGAAUAAGGAUCGGCUAACUCCGUGCCAGCAGCCGCGGUAAUACGGAGGAUCCAAGCGUUAUCCGGAAUCAUUGGGUUUAAAGGGUCCGUAGGCGGUUUAAUAAGUCAGUGGUGAAAGCCCAUCGCUCAACGAUGGAACGGCCAUUGAUACUGUUAGACUUGAAUUACUAGGAAGUAACUAGAAUAUGUAGUGUAGCGGUGAAAUGCUUAGAUAUUACAUGGAAUACCAAUUGCGAAGGCAGGUCACUACUAGUGGAUUGACGCUGAUGGACGAAAGCGUGGGGAGCGAACAGGAUUAGAUACCCUGGUAGUCCACGCCGUAAACGAUGGAUACUAGCUGUUGGGCGCAAGUUCAGUGGCUAAGCGAAAGUGAUAAGUAUCCCACCUGGGGAGUACGUUGCAAGAAUGAAACUUAAAGGAAUUGACGG